UCUACCUCUGAACUCUCUGCUCCCAAUUCCAUCACUGCCUCUGCCUGUGGGGUUUGUGGGUUUGGUUUUGGGUAUUUGAAUCUGGGCUUUUUGUGUCGAAGGUGAUUGGAGGAGAAAUGUGGGAGUUGGGAGAUGAUAAUGUGAGAGAGAUAUAAGAUGGGUUUUGUCCUUUCAAGGGAAUGACCUUUUCCUUUCUGUGAUUUUGAAUUGUUCUUAGUUAAAAAAAUAUAAAAACCCUGAUCUUUUUUUUUAUUUGGAGAAGCUCGUGGGGUGCCAUUUGGAGGAGAAGGGAGUGUUGGAAGUGGCUGAAUUGAUUGGAAAAUGUCAUGCCAGUUUCCGCUCUCCAUUUUCUGAAGACAUGUAAAAUAAGUUCAUUCUAGGUUGAAUUUCAGGGCGAUUGCAGUUUUGAAGUUUUAGCGGUUUUUGGGGAAAUGACGAAAGAAGAGUGAUAUUUUCAGGUUAAUUCAACGACCCAUUUACCCUCUCUUGUCAUUUUCUUGGUCUCUCCAAGUUCUUUCUUUUGGGGCAUGGACACUAAGAGCCACGGGGCUGGAUUCUCGCCCUUUGUACGUGAAUACUGGGCUAGAAAAUUUAUAUUUCCGUUUUCUUUGACACGGUCAUGCUUUACGAAUUGAGGUCAGCAAUUCCGGCUCAUAACCACAUUGGAAAAAUCUUGAGUUUGGUCCUUGGACAGGGGUUUUGGAAUUGAACUUCAAUUGUAGAUUACGCUCUGCAAUUAGGAGUGUUUGGAAUGGAAGAAAAUGAAAAAGAAACACGAUCUUUGGCCUUAACGCCAACAUGGUCUGUGACACUUGUCUUGACAAUCUUUGUUGCUGUUUCGUUGCUUAUGGAGCGCUCAAUCCACCGCCUAAGUAAUUUAAGUGGCAUUCAGCAGAUAUGCUGAAAUUUUUCUUAUGCCUUAAAAUGAGACAUUUUUAUUUUUAUUUUAUUUUAUCUCUCACCAAUAUUAUAUAAGAAAAAUAAAUUGAUGAGAGGCUUCUUUACUAGGAUUGGAAAUCAUUAUUUCAGAAUGAUUCUUUUUCAUAUUUAUACUGUUUUUUUUUUUCUUUUUCUUUCUGAAGAGGGGAGGGGUGAUUUGCAAGUAAUUCCUCUCAUUUUCAAAUAUCAUGUGAUUCUGAAGAUGAUAUUAAUUUUUUCUAUUACUUGUUGCUAGGUGCCCAUUAGUCUAUCUCUUAUUUGCCUAUCAAAAAAAAAAAAAAUGACCUUCCUAUUACUUUUUGAUUGAUAUUAGCAGGAUUGUAAUGGACCUAAUGGCUACUUGGUAUCUAAAUUUUAUGUUAUAACUUUGGAAUAAACGACCAGAAUUUACUGCAUGGUUAGCUGAAAUAAAACAGGUGAACCUGGAGAGUCUGCCUAACUGGGAGGAGAAGCAGAUGUUCAAAGAGUAAGCGUAGCUGUUGAUUGCAUUCAGGGUGCUCUUCAUUAAAAAGCAUUCCUGAAAUAUUAGUUAAGAUAUGUGAACUUCAGAUAAGAUAUGUGAAUUUCUAUCAAUAGGCUACAGCAUGUUAAUUUGUCAUGACAUGUAACUGAAUCUAUGUUAGCCUAAUCGUUUUAUGAUUUGACAAUUAUGAUUGUUGUCACUUGUAGCUGAAUCUAUAUUAGUGGGGAAAGGCACAGGGCCCGGUUCUCAUCCACUAUGAAGAGUGGGGUUUGGUGGGAUUAAGAAAAAAAAAAGCAUGGAAGUUAUGGAUGCAUUCAAUUUUCUUUUUAUGCAGACCCAUAUAGUCAAUUAUCUGAAAGUACUCAUAAAAUAUUCUACUCACUUAAAAAAAUAAUAUAUCCAAACAAAAAGUGGUAUCCCUAACCGGAACCAAAUCAAUGAGGUAGUGGAGCCACUGAAUCCCAGCUCAAUGUAGGGCCAGGCUGGCCAAUAUUUCUAGAUAAAAGAGAUGAGGCCCUGGAGGGUUUGGGUUUGGGAUUGGGAUGGUAGUUGAAGAGUAAAGCAGUGAGGCUUGUAUUCAUUCAUCCAAGGGAAGUGGACGUGAAGGGCUACGUGAAAUUUGUGGGCAUAUAAAAAAUGAAAAAACAAAGAAGAACAACAGCUUCAUUUGUAUGUUUGCUGUGUGUGUCUGAGGUUGACAGGCCAUGCUCUGCUCAUCUCUCUCUGCCUUGUUCAAUUUGGAUUUACUCCACACCCACCAUCGGUCAACAUUGACAUUGGGGUUAUAUAAUAAUAGUAGUGGAGCCACUGAAUCCCAGCUCAAUGUAGGGCCAGGCUGGCCAAUAUUUCUAGAUAAAAGAGAUGAGGCCCUGGAGGGUUUGGGUUUGGGAUUGGGAUGGUAGUUGAAGAGUAAAGCAGUGAGGCUUGUAUUCAUUCAUCCAAGGGAAGUGGACGUGAAGGGCUACGUGAAAUUUGUGGGCAUAUAAAAAAUGAAAAAACAAAGAAGAACAACAGCUUCAUUUGUAUGUUUGCUGUGUGUGUCUGAGGUUGACAGGCCAUGCUCUGCUCAUCUCUCUCUGCCUUGUUCAAUUUGGAUUUACUCCACACCCACCAUCGGUCAACAUUGACAUUGGGGUUAUAUAAUAAUAGUAGUGGAGCCACUGAAUCCCAGCUCAAUGUAGGGCCAGGCUGGCCAAUAUUUCUAGAUAAAAGAGAUGAGGCCCUGGAGGGUUUGGGUUUGGGAUUGGGAUGGUAGUUGAAGAGUAAAGCAGUGAGGCUUGUAUUCAUUCAUCCAAGGGAAGUGGACGUGAAGGGCUACGUGAAAUUUGUGGGCAUAUAAAAAAUGAAAAAACAAAGAAGAACAACAGCUUCAUUUGUAUGUUUGCUGUGUGUGUCUGAGGUUGACAGGCCAUGCUCUGCUCAUCUCUCUCUGCCUUGUUCAAUUUGGAUUUACUCCACACCCACCAUCGGUCAACAUUGACAUUGGGGUUAUAUAAUAAUAGUAGUGGAGCCACUGAAUCCCAGCUCAAUGUAGGGCCAGGCUGGCCAAUAUUUCUAGAUGGUUGACAAUCCAUUUGUACUUAUUUGCCCCUGAAAAGUUGCAGAGUCAGCAGCACAUCUCUAUCAACGGGGUUGGUAUAACCAUUGAGAUCUAUUUAUAAACGUGGGUUUCCUAGUUAGUAGCUUAGCACUGGGCUUCACCAUGGGUGCUUUGAACAAGGUGAUAGCUAUCUUACUCUCUCUCUCGCUGAUUCUGAUGACCCUGGCUCUGGCGAGAGGUUCUAGGAUUCUUAGCAGCUCGAAGGAGGGGCCUCUUGUGGGAGGUUCUGGGGUUUAUGGCAGCUCUAAAGAGAAGGGAGUAAUGGCACGGGGGCCUGUUCCACCAUCUUCUUCUAAUCCUUGCACUCGCAGCGGCGUUGGCAAUGGAAACGAUCAGCCCUGCCACCCAUCCACUCAUCCAUGAUGGUGAUGAUGACGGUUGAUGCCCAUACCAUGGACGGUUGCUUUAUGAGACUGAUCGCUUUGCUGUUGUGAACAAGAAGUAUGAGGAUGAUGAUGUAGUUAUGUGCUUGUGUUAUGCUGCUUAUGCACUUGAUCUUCUAUUUUUAAUAUGUUGCAUAUUAACUAAUAGUGCAUGAGGUGCGUUACGUUUCAAGGAUUUUUUUUUUUUGUUGAGGAAAGGGAAUAGGAAAUAAAAUUUCUUUAUAUUGCACAUUAUUCAAUCUGUACGAUCCGAUUUUUAAAACAUCGCUAUUUUUCACACGUUGAAGGCCACGUCACCUUCUCCCUUUCUAAAAUUAUUCAUUCGCUUUCUUCUCUGUCAUUCUCUUUUGGUUGAUUUAUACCUUCAGAUUGUACCAAAGUUCUACAUCUGCAAUUUUGCAGGCGUUGGGCUUCAAAUUUUCCUUCGUUUUCUUUUCUUUGUCAUUCUUUUUGGUUGAUUUGUACCUGCAGAUUGUACCAAAGUUGAGAUCGGCGAUUCAGGCGUUGGGCUUCAAAUUUUCCUUCGUUUUUCUUUUCUCUGUUAUUCUCUUUUGGUUGAUUUAUAACUUCAGAUUGUAACAAAGUUGAGAUCGGCAUCUCAGAUCUCCAAUUUUGCAGGCGUUGGGUUGCAGGCGUCUUAGUACAAAAAGAAAAAAAAACCCUAGAAAAGUUACAGAAACACUCCACAUCUUACCAUUAUCUAUAGAAUUACCCUUUUCUACCUCUCAAAUCUCUGCUCCCAAUCCCAUCACUGCCUCUGCCCGUGGGGUUUGUGGGUUUGGUUUUGGGUAUUUGAAUCGGGGCUUUUUGUGUCGCAGGUGAUUGGAAGAGAAAUGUGGGAGUUGGGAGAUGAUAAUGUGAGAGAGAUAUGAGAUGGGUUUUGUCCUUCUUUUGCUUUCUGUGAUUUUGAAUUGUUCUUAGUUAAAAAAAUAUAAAAACCCUGAUUUUUUUUUAUUUGGAGAAGCUAGAAGGGUCUUUCUUUUGGGGCAUGGACACUAACACCCAUUGAUUAUUACCCAGCUACCAUAUAAAAGUCACGAGGCUGGAUUCUCCCGUGAAUACUUGGCUAGAAAAUUUAUGUUUAGUUUUCUUUGACGCGGUCAUGCCUUAUGAAUUGAGGUCAGCAAUUCCGGCUCAUGAAAAAUUUUGAGUUUGGUCCUUGGACAGGGGUUUUGGAAUUGAACUUCAAUUGUAGAUUACGCUCUGCAACUAGGAGUGUUUGGAAUGGCAGAAAAUGAAAAAGAAACACGAUCUCUGGCCUUAACGCCAACAUGGUCUGUGGCACUUGUCUUGACAAUCUUUGUUGCUGUUUCGUUGCUUGUGGAGCGCUCAAUCCACCGCCUAAGUAAUGUUAGAACUACUAUGAGAAUGUGAAAGAUACAAGGAAGAACAAGUGGAGGAAUUAAAACACUCUAUGCAAAGUGGAAUGGCACAGGCAAUGAAAGAGCAAGCUCAGCUCAGGGAAGAGAUGGCUUACCAGUACAAAGUUGGCAACUUUGAGGCUGCAGCUGCCAUCCAGAGAAGAUUGGACCCAGAUGUUGCUAUGUAAAAGAGCAGCUGGCCAUAGUCUUGGGAUGGAAAUUCUGUCAUGCUUGGAACACCUUGCAUUAGGAUGCAAGGUUUGUAUGGAUCCCCCUUCUGUUAGGCUUACUAAGAGGAUCUCUUUUGACUUCUCUCCUCCUACAUAGAAAAUACAGCAGGGUUCAAACUUAAGUUCUAGGUUCGACUAUUUUGGUGCUCCUUUCCCAUUUUUGCAGAUCUAUGGAAGAGUGCUUUGUUUUAACUGCUUCUGUACCACAUGCAAUACUGAUCGAUUGCUCCUUUGUGCUCACCGCUUAGUAGGAGAGAUAGUGUCUGUAUUCUUUUUUCUGGGUUCUACACCUUUGUUUUGUCAUGACUUGUAACUGAAUCUAUGUAAGCCUAAUUGUUUUACAAGUUAACAAUCAUGAUUGUUGUAACUUAUAGCUGAAUCUAUAUCAGUCUAAUCUUACAUUUGAAAA